GUGGUGUCAGGUGUGCACAUGGCUCGAGAAAGAGAAACAUCAGAGCUCAGACCAACGCCUUUUCUUCUCCUUUCUUUCGAUGUCUGUCUCUUUCCCCCAAAAAGCUCUUCUUCCUCUCUUCUUGUUCCUGUUCGUCAUCACCAACGGUGCCAUUUUCCCUCUUUUAUCCUUCAUUUUUCCGAUCGACAACAACGAAACCAAGAUAUGGUACGAAAUUUGGAGAUUUUCUCUAUCGUUCUCAUGCUACUUUAUGUUGCAGUUACGAAAUUUGCAGAUUACCUCCAUCAUUCUCAUGCUAUUUUCUGAGCUUUUCCCCCCUUUUUUGAAGGUCCAAAAAUUGGAAUUUUCUUUGAUUCUCUCAAAAACUACUAAUAAGGUGGUUACAAAAAAUAAGUUAGAGUGGGACUAAUUGGCAGUGGAGUGAGAGAAGUCUUAACAUGGGAAAGAACAAGCAUAAAAGGCAUGUUAAAGAUUUGUCAAUUGACAGAGCAACUCUGUAUGAACAUUAACUAGAUGCUGCCUAAGGUAUAUGUAAUUUGGUGAUAAAACACUACAUUCUGCUGAUUUAUUUUGGUGGUUCUUGAUUCUCAUUUUGCAGAAUUUAAGUAGUGAACUCUACCACAAAUCCUUGAAAGAUGCUGCUAAGAUAAAGGAACAAGGAAAAAGGAGGCUGCUUUUCUCCAUUCAACCAUGAAGAAGUAAGAAAAUUGUGCCCAAGAUAAAGGUGCAAAGGUGCAACUGUUUAUGCAUACGUGGUCUACUAUGAGAGAUAGGUAGCCAGCUAUUUCACACUUUUGGAUAGCAAUUUAUAACUCAAGAAAACAAGAUUAAAGUGAUAAAAUUUGUUGGGUCAGUGGAUGAAUAUUUUGGCCUCAAAUGCCAUUUUGAAAGAUUGGAAGCAUAUGCAGCUCUCCACUCCCGAUUGUGUUUGAGUCUUGUAUCUCUUAGUAUUUACAUUAAAAAAGGGAGUCUUCAUGGGUGUUAGUAGUUGAGAGAAAAAGGGCAUUUCAUAGGCUUUUUGUAUUUUUAUAAUUUAUACCUUUUGGAACAUUAAGUAUAUUGUACUGAUACUGCUUUCUAAUGGUAAAAUCUGGUGGAGAAAGAAAUCCAGUAAGUCCGUAACUUACAAUUA